GUCGUGGCAGUGCAGCUCCGGAACAAAGUCCACAGCCGGCUCCAGAACAGCACCCCACAUGCAGGAGCUGUCCAAGCUGGCAAAGCAGGUCGAGAUCUCCCUGGAGCUGAAGAAGGCCAGGCUAUGAGAUCCCGGAGGAGACCUGGAGAGUCUGUCCUCUAGGGAUAGCGGAGGACCUGAGAUGCCGGGUUGGCCUGUUACUCAGUGAGGGGGGAAUGUGGAAAUGACCGAGGUGCCUAAUGACGUCUUUGUCUCGGUGGCGAGCGGCCGGCUACCGUAGUGAACACCGGUGAAAACGAGGUAGGAUCAGAGGCUAAAAUAGGGAAAGAACAAGUUAACCAUUCCUUAGACACAUCAGAUGUCUUCACACCACCAGGGCCCGAUUAAAUGCCUCCUAGGAUCCUCAAGGAGCUGCCUGAGGAGAUGGCUGAGGUACCUUUCAGAAAACCUGGAAGAUGGGAGAGAUUCCGGAUGACCAGAAAAGGACAAAUCUAGGGGGCAGCUCUAAAAAGGGGAAGAAGGAGGAACCCGGGAAUUAUGGACCAGUCAGUGUCACUUCUGUACCCGGAAAGAUAAUGGAGCAAAUCAUUAAGCAGUCGAUUUGCAAACACCUAGAAGAUAUUGAGGUGAUAAGUGACAGUUGCGUGGAACUGUCAAGAACAAAUUGUGUCAAACCAACCUGAUACCUUUCAUUGACAGCGUAACAAGCCGUGUGGACGGGAGGAAGUGCUAGAUGUGGUAUAGACUUUAGUAAAGCUUUUGAUACUG